rnacentral:rRNA from 1 species
CCUACGGGAGGCAGCAGUGGGGAAUAUUGCACAAUGGGGGAAACCCUGAUGCAGCGACGCCGCGUGAGUGAAGAAGUAUUUCGGUAUGUAAAGCUCUAUCAGCAGGGAAGAAAAUGACGGUACCUGUCUAAGAAGCCGCGGCUAACUACGUGACAGCAGCCGCGGUAAUACGUAGGGGGAAAGCGUUCUCCGGAUUUACUGGGUGUAAAGGGAGCGUAGACGGCGGAACAAGUCGGAAGUGAAAACCCGGGGCUCAACCCUGGGUGUGCUUUUGAAACUGGUUGACUGGAGUGCGGGAGAGGGAAGCAGAAUUCCUAGUGUAGCAGUGAAAUGCGUAGAGAUGAGGAGGAAUACCAGUGGCGAAGGCGGCUUACUGGACUGAAACUGACGUUGAGGCACGAAAGCGUGGGGAGCAAACAGGAUUAGAUACCCUGGUAGUC